rnacentral:tRNA from 1 species
GCCUCCAUAGCAUAGUGGUAUUGCGCUUGCUUCGUAAGCGAAAGGUCGCGAGUUCCAUCCUCGCUGGGGGCU